AGUGGAAUAGCUGGGUCAAAUGGUGGUUCUAUUCCAAGUUUUCUGAGGAAUUUCCAUAAGGCUUUCCAGAUUGGUUGCACCAAUCUGUAACCCCUCCAGCAAU
rnacentral:pre_miRNA from 1 species